AAACAUGAGAGUUUGAUCCUGGCUCAGAACGAACGCUGGCGGCAGGCUUAACACAUGCAAGUCGAACGGGCGUAGCAAUACGUCAGUGGCGGACGGGUGAGUAACACGUGGGAAUGUGCCUUUCGGUUCGGAACAACUCGGGGAAACUCGUGCUAAUUCCGGAUACGCCCUUACGGGGAAAGAUUUAUCGCCGAAAGAUCAGCCCGCGUCCGAUUAGCUAGUUGGUGAGGUAAAGGCUCACCAAGGCACCGAUCGGUAGCUGGUUUGAGAGAACGACCAGCCACACUGGGACUGAGACACGGCCCAGACUCCUACGGGAGGCAGCAGUGGGGAAU
rnacentral:rRNA from 1 species